AUACAGUGGUGAGGACAUCUUUUAAGAAGUUCUUUAUACCUCUCCCACACUUCAUGUAAGGACUCUUCUUCCUGCUGCACAAAUGAGGUGAUCUCUCCUCUUAGUUU